GGUCUGGUGGUGGAAUGGUAACACACCCGCUUUACAUGCAUAAAUGGCCACCCAUUCCUUUAGCAGGAGGUCCUUGUUCGAGUCAAGGUCAGGCCA